rnacentral:rRNA from 1 species
GACGAACGCUGGCGGCGUGCUUAACACAUGCAAGUCGAACGGGCCCGCUCUCUUUUUUGGGGGUGGGUUGAGUGGCGAACGGGUGAGUAUCACGUGAGUAACCUGCCCCCUGCUCCUGGAUAACUGCUUGAAAGGGCGGCUAAUACGGGGUGUGCCGGCUGGUCCGCAUGGGCCUGGUCGGGAUAGUUUCAUCUUCGGGUGUUUCGGUGGGGGAUGGGCUCGCGGCCUAUCAGCUUGUUGGUGGGGUGAUGGCCCACCAAGGCGGUGACGGGUAGCCGGCCUGAGAGGGUGGGCGGCCACACUGGGACUGAGACACGGCCCAGACUCCUGCGGGAGGCAGCAGUGGGGGGUAUUGCACAAUGGACGGAAGCCUGAUGCAGCGACGUCGCGUGAGGGAUGGAGGCCUUCGGGUUGUGAACCUCUUUCUCCGGUGGUGAAGGCCCUGUCCGUUGCGGCGGGGUUGACGGUAGCCGGGGAUGAAGCGCCGGCUAACUACGUG